rnacentral:rRNA from 1 species
GUAACACUAACUGGAGGACCGAACCGACUAAUGUUGAAAAAUUAGCGGAUGACUUGUGGCUGGGGGUGAAAGGCCAAUCAAACCGGGAGAUAGCUGGUUCUCCCCGAAAGCUAUUUAGGUAGCGCCUCGUGAAUUCAUCUCCGGGGGUAGAGCACUGUUUCGGCAAGGGGGUCAUCCCGACUUACCAACCCGAUGCAAACUGCGAAUACCGGAGAAUGUUAUCACGGGAGACACACGGCGGGUGCUAACGUCCGU